CCUACGGGCGGCAGCAGUGGGGAAUAUUGCACAAUGGGGGAAACCCUGAUGCAGCGACGCCGCGUGAGUGAAGAAGUAUUUCGGUAUGUAAAGCUCUAUCAGCAGGGAAGAAAAUGACGGUAUCUGAUUAAGAAGCCCCGGCUAACUACGUGCCAGCAGCCGCGGUAAUACGUAGGGGGCAAGCGUUAUCCGGAUUUACUGGGUGGAAAGGGAGCGGAGACGGCAGCACAAGUCUGGAGUGAAAUGCCGGGGCUUAACCCCGGAACUGCUUUGGAAACUGUGCAGCUAGAGUGCAGGAGAGGUAAGUGGAAUUCCUAGUGUAGCGGUGAAAUGCGUAGAUAUUAGGAGGAACACCAGUGGCGAAGGCGACUUACUGGACUGUAACUGACGUUGAGGAGCGAAAGCGUGGGGAGCAAACAGGAUUAGAUACCCUAGUAGUC
rnacentral:rRNA from 1 species